rnacentral:rRNA from 1 species
GACGAACGCUGGCGGCGAGCUUAACACAUGCAAGUCGAACGGAAAGGCCCUGCUUGCAGGGUGCUCGAGUGGCGAACGGGUGAGUAACACGUGGGUGAUCUGCCCCUUACUUUGGGAUAAGCCUGGGAAACUGGGUCUAAUACUGGAUAGGACCAUGCUGUAGGUGGUGUGGUGGAAAGAUUAGUUUCGGUAAGGGAUGAGCUCGCGGCCUAUCAGCUUGUUGGUGGGGUAAUGGCCUACCAAGGCGUCGACGGGUAGCCGGCCUGAGAGGGUGGACGGCCACAUUGGGACUGAGAUACGGCCCAGACUCCUACGGGAGGCAGCAGUGGGGAAUAUUGCACAAUGGGCGCAAGCCUGAUGCAGCGACGCCGCGUGGGGGAUGACGGCCUUCGGGUUGUAAACUCCUUUCAGCCAUGACGAAGCCCUUGUGGUGACGGUAGUGGUAGAAGAAGCACCGGCUAACUACGUG